rnacentral:lncRNA from 1 species
GAACGCGUAAAAGAGACAUCGUUAACAACCCCACUAAAGAGCAGACACCAGCCCAAGGCCACCAAUGUGUCUUCAACGCAUCGGGAAAUUCUUGCACAAGGUAGCAAGCUUGAUCUGGCCCCUAAACAAACAUGUGUACUAGUAUAGUUCGGUGAAAAUGGACGUCAUGCUUAACUUCAAAACAAAUAUAUAAAUUAACUAAAAUUUUUAAAAAAACAUACUUGUUUUACUAUUGAAUUUCUAAUUGCUUGUUUGAUUUAAUAUGUUCUGAUGUCAGACACACAUUAGAUAUUAUUAUUCCAGCUUUGUGUUCAUUGACUAAACAUGCGCUACGGUUGUUUUAUUAAUGAUCAAAAAAUGAAUUUGUCAAAUUUGUACAUUUUGGAAAAGGAGAAAAACUACACAAUCAUACGUCGAUGAUAGGUAUAUAACACUUUUCCAAAGAAAGGGGGUGGGUCAGCAAACAAAACAGCAUUUUACAACAAAUUGACAAAAAAGAAGCCAAGCUAAACCUGCGACCAAAAUCUUUCAAAUAUAACGUUAAAAACACAUAUGAGUUGAAAAGAGUUCCAUAGGUAACUAGAUGGAACACUUUCUGAGCUGUACAUGCAAAAGAAAGGCGAAGACAUUAACGAAAUAAAUACUAAAACGGUCUACAAAAAAACAACAUAGAAAAAAUACACAACAGGGCCAGACAAAAUCUGGGAAUGAUAUAAGAUAAUCUGGCACAUAAGCAGAGUUUGCUCCAUGUGUGGCAUCCGUCGUAUUUUGCAUUUAAAGAACAAAAUCUGCGACGUCAAACUCAAUGGCACAUUAAAAACAACGGGAUUGUGAUAACAAUAAUUUAAAUAUUUGAGUAUGAUAUUGGACUGUUUUAUAACAUGAUAUUUCGCCUGAAAAGUAUACAUUUGAAAGUUCUUAUAUAUGUGAAAAAUACAAAUGUCGAAAAUUACCAAUACAUCGAGAAAAUAGAAAACGUAGCAAUUUAACAAUAGUUGUUGUGUUUUCUACUUACCAACUGGAGUUGUGAUUGAGGCAAAAAUCAACGACACAACAAGUAUUAUGAUUCUGAAUAACUUCAUGUCAAUAAUUAAAUGCUGUUUUUUAACACUUCACUUUUAUGUUUGCAUUUAAUGGGCUUAAUAUUCAUAUAAAUAAUUUGAUCAUUAUACGUGUGUUUACAUAUUAAUAUACAUGUAUAACAUAUGUAAUUACA